rnacentral:rRNA from 1 species
GUCUAUGGCCAUGCUACCCUGAACAAGCCCGAUCUCAUCUGAUCUCAGAAGCUAAGCAGGGUUGAGCCUGGUUAGUACUUGGAUGGGAGACCACCUAGGAAGACCAGAUAAUAAUAAUAA